UCUGGAAACUGUNUGACUUGAGUGCAGAAGGGGAGAGUGGAAUUCCAUGUGUAGCGGUGAAAUGCGUAGAUAUAUGGAGGAACACCAGUGGCGAAAGCGGCUCUCUGGUCUGUCACUGACGCUGAGGCUCGAAAGCGUGGGUAGCGAACAGGAUUAGAUACCCUGGUAGUCCACGCCGUAAACGAUGAGUGCUAGGUGUUAGGCCCUUUCCGGGGCUUAGUGCCGGAGCUAACGCAAUAAGCACUCCGCCUGGGGAGUUCGACCGCAAGGUUGAAACUCAGAGGAAUUGACGGGGGCCCGCACAAGCGGUGGAGCAUGUGGUUUAAUUCGAAGCAACGCGAAGAACCUUACCAGGUCUUGACAUCCCGAUGCUAUUCUUAGAGAUAGGAAGUUACUUCGGUACAUCGGAGACAGGUGGUGCAUGGUUGUCGUCAGCUCGUGUCGUGAGAUGUUGGGUUAANNCCCGCAACGAGCGCAACCCUUAUUGUUAGUUGCCAUCAUUAAGUUGGGCACUCUAGCGAGACUGCCGGUAAUAAACCGGAGGAAGGUGGGGAUGACGUCAAAUCAUCAUGCCCCUUAUGACCUGGGCUACACACGUGCUACAAUGGUCGGUACAACGAGUUGCGAGCCGGUGACGGCAAGCUAAUCUCUGAAAGCCGAUCUCAGUUCGGAUUGGAGGCUGCAACUCGCCUCCAUGAAGUCGGAAUCGCUAGUAAUCGCGGAUCAGCACGCCGCGGUGAAUACGUUCCCGGGCCUUGU
rnacentral:rRNA from 1 species